GGACGGGUCUGGAAGCGCAGGCCCCUCCGCUCGGGUCAUCUUCUCACUAAUCGUCUGCCCGUCGUGUGAUGUUUGCGUUAGGAUUCGGCAUUUAAAUGUUUUUUUUUCUUUUAUAUGUUGUAGUUCGUCUUAUAAUCUCCUUCGAAGGUGACAGAGUUUAACCCGGAGGUGUGAGGGACGGCCCUUAGCAACCCUGUCACUACUGUCAACAGAAGGGGACAGGAGGAACGAGGUGGCCGUCCGAGAGAGGACGUGAUAUUUUACUCCCCGAGACCAUGUCACAGCCACCUGGAGGAAACGGAGCCGGGCGGGACGACGUGGUGAACGCGCUGGUGUCUUCACACGGGUGGCUGCGGGACAACGGGCUGCAGCGGAGCAAGCUCAGCCUCCCCCAGAUUCUCACGCACAUCGGCUUCAGGCAGCGUGGGGAUUAUGUUCAUCAUCAAGUCCAUCUCCUCCAAAUACGCCGACGGCAUGUUCCCUCAGAUCACCGUAGAUGGGACUGUCCACAACAUAACAGUUCUGGGAAGAACUGGAGUCCCUCUGCGAGAAGUUGGAGGCUAAAGCGAAGCUGUGCAGCCGGAGGCUGGACUGGCUCACCACAGGCAGCAGGAAGCUUUUCGGGGUCAUCCAGGAGAAGAGUGUCACAUUAGUGCUGGAUGUCGGAUGUUCUGCCACGAGGGCCCAGCAAAAGCUUGGCAAGCAGGCCUUGUGUAAAGUGAUUUGUGAGCAAGUUUCACAAAUGGACUGUUUCAACAUUAUGAGGUAAGGAACGCAGAACGCUUUUACUGAACG
ensembl:lncRNA